UCUUAUUCUGUAUUCUCUUGACUGAACAAUAAAUUUUUAAAUAUAUAUAAUUUCCUCUAUUAAACACUUAAACCUGGCCAUCUUAUUAACUCCUUCUCUCUUUUUAACAAGGUAAUGUUUUUAAGUGUAUAGUUUUAGGACUAGCGAAAUGGCAGCAACAAACAAUUGCGAGCAGUUGUUACUCUUUUUAAGUCUUUAAAAACCUUUUACAUUGUAAGUACCCUUGCUCAGUGCAGUUGUCAUGUUCAUGUCGGUGAGAUGUCCUGAUUUUCCGGACCUUCAUCUGCAUGUAUGUCUUUGUUUCUCUUGUCUGAUGUAAGCCAGUUUAAAGAAAAAAAAAUGCUUUUGGACGAUUUUUGCUUUUAUAAAGCUAAGGUUUUUAGCUUUAAGCUUCUGGAAAUGUUUACAGCAAUACAUGCUAGUCAGCUUUCUUCCCAGGAAUGUACACUUUUCUUUGAAAAUCGAUCUAGUUGAAGAAAAACAGCUCUGUUUUUCUCGUCUUGUUGGAGGGUGGGUGAGGGAGAGGAAGACCUUGUCUUUGUGUAGAGAGACUGAAGCCGUCACAGGAAACUAGAUUAAAACUGGAAAACAAGUCCUAGCUGGUUCCAGCCAAACACCAGCGCUAACUCGGGGAGCCCUAAACAGCCCUCAGCGAAGCCGCCUUUUUGCCAACCCAGCCCUGGAAAGUUUGCAGAAGUGGAAGGAGCAGAAAUGCCCCGAGAGUGUAACUUUCAAAAAGGUUUUUGGCCGGAGAAGGGGCCGCAGCAGGUACCCCCUGGGUGGACAGUCCUCCUUUGGACAGCAGGAGCAGGCCUAGUUUGAAUCUGAAAGUCCUCCCUCCAAGGUAGGUGUGAACCCUUUUCCCAGGCCGUGAGGGCCACUUGGGGGGCUUUGGCCUGCAGCCCAGUGUGGGCGGGAAUCCCAAACCGGCUGGGCUGGUUCUGCAGCCCCUCCCCCACACAGAUGUGUGACUGUGUGUGUGUAUGUGAGAGAGAGAGAGCAGCUGCCCGCUGGGCCUGCCGGGGGCCCCAUCCCUCCCCGCCCGUCAGCCUGGGUUGUCAGGCAUUUGGGGCGUGCAAUUCUUGGCCCAAUGUGGCCACACAGGAAAGGCUGCACUUGCAAGUAUUUCCCAGUUGUGUGUUUGCUGGUUGAGGGGGGCGGGCCCUGGACGCCUGCCUCUGACAGGCGCGGGCUGCCAGUACUUGGCCACUGGAGGAGCCGCCCUCUGGUGACCAGCUGCUGGACAACGAAGAACUGAAGUGGGCCCUGGUCUGGGCUGUCUCUUUCCCGGAAACUUGGCUGCCCCUCCCCAGGAUUCCCACCGCGCCUCCGCUCCCCAGGUGGCCAGGGGUAUGUAGCCUUGUUUUGUGCAGACACACCUGCGUUUGGACCUGGCUCUCCAGGUACCCUCUGUGACCUUGCGUAAGAUGUAUGGUCUCUGAGCCUCAGUUUCCCCAUCUGUAGAAAUGGGGCUGGACCACUGGCCGGCUGGAACUGGAGUGCCUGUCAGAAUCACAUGGGGGGGUGCUGAUCAUGGGGGCGGAGCCUGGGAACCUGCCUAACAGGCUCUCAGGCUAGGCCUUGUUUCCAGACCCUCUGGGCUUGGGAACACCUCUCACAGUGACCCUGAGGCUCCACGCUGAGUGCUCGGCUCUCAGAGGGGUUUCGCACCCAGUGCCUUGUCGUCCCCUCCCGCCACACCAGUGCCUUGUCUGUCGCCUCCCGCUACUGGCAGGCCCUGCGUGGCUGUCCUUUGUGGCCGAGAAUCCCUCAGUCCCUGUCCAGCCCCUGCCCGGCCCCUGCCUCAUGUGAUCUUUUGUUUGUGAUUACUUGCAUGAACCAGUUGGGUCCAGCUGUCUCCGCUGUGAGGCCAGGACCCGCCGCGGCACCUGGGUGACUAAGGCAGGUGGGCGUGGGUUGGGACCCGGACGGGACGGGACUGGUGACCUCGGGCGAGCGUCGCCUCGUGAAAGGAGGACAGUGAUGUGUGCUGGAGAGAGUUGGGGGAGGAUGGCGUGCGACUCAGGGAGCCAGGCUCCAUGCGAGCUGAUCCUCACUGGGAGUGGUUGCAGGCACUGGGGGCUGGUCCGGCCCCCUCCCUGAGCACGUGGCGAAGCCUGCGGGCAAAGGGUGGCCAGUCCUUGCCACCCAUGCGCCCAGCUCCAUGGCUGUCCUGUGAUGGGGUCAUGGUUCAGGGUCACUCCCUCCUAGCCUGGGGAGAAGUGAUGUGCCCAAGGUCAAGAGGCCACUGCCCACAGAGCCAGGAUGGGGCUGCAGGUGUCCUGACUUCCAGCCCAGCGCCGUGCCCGUGGCACCCCCCACCCCAGCUGUCUGGGUUAUUUUGGGCUCUUGCCUCCCGUGCCAGCUGUCUGCCGGCAUGGCUGACCGGGAACUGUCUGGUGGGAAGUAACCAGUGUGGUGACCGCCUUGGCCUCCCUGCCCUGAUGAGGGUGGGCCCCCUGCCCCUGCCCGGGUGAGGGGAGAGGACGAGGUUGUUUUGUACAAGUUGCCAUGGUUCCCGUCCUUACUGUUGCCUGGGCGUCUGCUCGCCUUCCACGCUGCCCUGGAACCUGAGUUUUGAAUUCAGCUCUGCCCAGAGCCUCCCUUGGGCCUGUGACGUCUGCUCCCGAGGGUGUCAUAUUCCCUUUGGGUUGAGUCCUGGGGGCUCUGGGCCGGGGUCGCGCCUUCCUGCUUGCUGGCUGCUUAGAUCAUUUCUGUACCCUGGAAGGCUGCGAGCCAGCCCCACCAGUCCUGUCCUUGAACCAGUGGGGGAGCAGUUAGGUGCUGAGCUGUGGUCUGGGCGGGAUUCUUGCCGGAGGAGGUGGGAGGCUCUUCCCCUCCCUGCCUCCCAGGCUUUUCCACCUCCCUCCCUCUCCUUCCUUUGGCCCCACCUCCACUGUCACCUCCCGAGGCCGGGCACUCCGUCCUGGAGCUGCUGUUCCAGGCCCCCAGGUGCCCCGCCCACCGGUCACCCCGGGAGUGGGGGGCGGGGCUGCUCCUGGCGGCCGGAGAGAGGGCCACGCCAUCGGAAAGGCUGGCAGGUGGCCGCCCUCGUCCCGCCUCUUCCGGCCUCUCCAGCGGGAGCCACGGCGCAGCCUACGGCCUCCUGGAUGCUCAGGUUGUGGAGAGGCAUCUCCACCAUUUUGGGUUAUCCGGGUCCAGUGCCGCCUCCACCUGGCCCAUGACCUCCGGCAGGCCCUGCCCAAAUGCCCCGGGGGAGGAGGCGUCACCUUUAGAGCUGUCUUGAGUCUGGCUUUGUGAGGGCCUGUCUCCUGCCUGCCCCCUCCCCCAUGUGCAGCUGAGGCCUGAGGACGGCCUUAGGGUCCCCUGGCCACCUCCCUCGGGGACCCCGCUGGGAAGGCUAAGGGUCUUCUGUGUGCUUUGAGUGGGGAGCCCUCAGGGUUUCUCAGACACCCGGUGAGGAGGGCCCGUGAGCAUGGUCAGGGCUGAGCAGUCACUGCACCUUUCCUGCUGGUGGCCUGGCUGUGGCACAGUGAGUCGUCCCUCCCUCCCCCCCGCAGCGGCCCCCGGCAGCUCCCCUGUGGCAGGAACCAGCAGGGAGAAUCUUCCUUGUCCUGAAACCCUCUAGGAAUUCCUAGGGAAUGGAAGGAGUGUGACAGGGCCCUCAGGAGGACACCCACCCUCUCCCCCCCCCCUCCCGCGCCCCGGGCGUGCCCAGCUCCUCCACUGGCCUGGCCGGGCCGCCUCUGAGGAGCUGGGAGCAGCUGGCCUGGCUCCUGGGUAUUUUUAGCUCAGAUCCAGCCCCACCAUCGCCACAGGAGCCAGGUCCAGAUCAAACACGCUCCAGGCUGCAGGGAGCUGGGCCCCUGCCAGCCUCCUGGCUGGGCAGCCGUGGGUGGGCAGGCUGGGGCCAGUGUCAGCUGCCCUGCCUAGCCCCAGGCGGGGCCGGGACAGACUCAUUUCUUCCCUGCCUGCACAUCGCGCAUGCUUGCUGUGUCCUAAGUAGACCUCCCAGCCCUGUUUCUCAGACGGAGAGAGUAGAGGCCGAGGCCUGAGGAUUGGGGGGACUAGUCAGGAGCGCUCCUGUGGGCUCACGUGACGAGGGUGCACCUGCUGGGGGGGGGCAGCUUCCAUGCCUCUCCUCCCCAGCCUGCUUGAGCUGCACGGUGCCUGCUGCACAGGGCAGUGGCCCCUGCCUCACCCAGCUCUCUGCCCCUGCACCCUGGCCUGGCCUCCUGCCCCCUUCUCGCCCUGGAGAACCGCUUUUCUGACCUCUCUCCACCUGGCCCCUGCCUCACUGGCCCGGUUUUUUUACGCCCCUCUGCAGUUCCGGAGCUUUGUGCCUAACACACCCCUCAACCCUGAGGAUCCCACCCUGUGGAGCCCCAGUGACCCUACCAGGUCUGGCCUCGCUCCCCAGCUCCUGCAGAACGGGGGAGGGGGGUGUGCUUCCUGGCCGCCAUGCACUUGCCCAGGCCAGGUCCCUGUCCUGCCUCCACUCAGCCUUCCCCAAGCCCGCGUGCACCCUGCUGUCCCAGCUGCCCUCUCCCCCUCCCCCGCGCCCGCGGGAACACAAUUGCCUGUCAAUAAACGUAUUUCACAAAA